UACGGAGGGUGCAAGCGUUAUCCGGAUUCACUGGGUUUAAAGGGUGCGUAGGCGGGCAGGUAAGUCCGUGGUGAAAUCUCCGAGCUUAACUCGGAAACUGCCAUGGAUACUAUUUGUCUUGAAUACUGUGGAGGUGAGCGGAAUAUGUCAUGUAGCGGUGAAAUGCUUAGAUAUGACAUAGAACACCAAUUGCGAAGGCAGCUCACUGCGCAGUGAUUGACGCUGAGGCACGAAAGCGUGGGGAUCAAACAGGAUUAGAAACCCCCGUAGUCC
rnacentral:rRNA from 1 species